AUUGAAGCAUACAGCUUCCCUAGAAAAUGUCUACUGCAGAGAAUUCAAUUGUAAAUGGAUCAAGGACUUUAACACAAGAUCUGAAACCCUGAAACUGUAAGAUGAAAAAAUAAGGAGCCUGCUUCACUUCACAGACACAGGCUGCUCCUUGGUAACAGAGCCUCACUCUUCCAGAGGAAGCUUCACAACCUUGAUCUUGUCCAUGAAGUCGGAGUUGGCAAAUCCGUGCUGAGCAGUGAGGAAAUCAAAUAGAUAUUUUUGUGCACAAAAUGUAAAGAUGCCCCAUUCUUCUGCUGCUUAAGACUCCUACCCAUGUUUCCUGGCUCAUGAGCCCAGUCAUGGAAUGGACUGUCUGCUGUUUCCAACCUGAAGAUAAACUAAAAGUUCCCAGGCAAGCAGAAACUAGCAGCUAAGCGGGCUACAUACUAAAUCCAGUUCAUGUCAUCAACCAGGACAUGGGCAAUCUACCAGUGACCAUCUCCCCAAACA
rnacentral:lncRNA from 1 species